rnacentral:tRNA from 1 species
CAAUGAAAAGCCAAAAUAGAGGCAUUUAACUGUUAAUUAAAUAAUUGAAAUUUUUUUGUUUCUUCAUUGA